rnacentral:lncRNA from 1 species
GCAAGUGAGCGUCCCGGGGAGGGGCCAGGCAGGGCGCUGCAGGGCAGGGGGCUUCCUCCUUCCUGUCGCUGACUGCAGCUCACCCUUGGCACAAGCCUGCCCGGCGGCUCCCGGCAAUCAUAUUUUAUCAAAUACUGGGGUGAGAACCACUAGGUAAUUUGCUAACUAACCAAUCCCAGGCGUCACCUGUGACAAGAACAUGAAAUGCUGGAGCUGAGAGAGCAACGAAAGGAACAAGACAAAGCAGAAACCCAAGCAGGCUUAGAGGACCCCGGGUAAGCUUGGCACGGUGGACGGCAGCUCCUGCCCUCUUCCCUGCUGAAACCCAGCCCAAGGGCUCGUGUCGUGAAGCAGGAACAGCAGGAAGUGCCCAGCUGAGGUGAAUACCACAGUGUGCAGAAUCUCUUGUUCACCUGAGACAGGAGAUGGGCAGGCCUCUGGAGACUCGGUGACUGAGGACCUCACCUGGUUCAUUACCAAGUUCCUUAGUGAUGCUAAGAGCCUCAAAAUCCAGUACGCAGGGCUAGGGUGUAGCAGUGGCCUAGCACGCAGGAGGCCCAGGGUGUGAUCUCUAGCACAGCUCAGUAUGUUAAUUAAUUAAAAAUUUAAAACUCCAGUGCACAUGCCAGAAGUCAGGCCUGUGACCUUGGGAAGAGGCAGGUGCCAAGGGCCCGCGUGGGGAUGGACAUGCCAGCGUGGGCACUGAGCAGCCAGGCAGCACAGGGUGGGAGGCCCCGUGGCCCCAGGUGGCCUGGGCACCAGUACUGCCCACUGCCUGGCUGUGCCUCAGGGCGGGAGAGGGGCUCACUCAACUGCGUCGCAGAAGGCGGUUGUUGGGGGUGGGCAGGAGGCAGGAUCUGCCUUAUGGUAGGUCAGUUACACCAGGGCUCCCGAGCCUGGGGCUGCACCCUGCACCAGUCCUCGGCCUGUGGGAACGGGCCGUGCAGCAGGUGGACAGAGUGGACAAGCAAAGCUCCAUCUCUGUGGACACCAUCAACACUGCUCCCCACAUGGAGAUGGAGCACCCUGCAUUCCAGCCAAGCCGCUGGACUCUGUCAGAGGAAAAAAGGGACCACGAAGGACAGAACCAGUGACUGCAGGCCAUUGCUUCAGCUGGUGUGUGGGCCUCCCUCUCAGUGGCUCACAGCACCGCCAAAGCUGAGGAGCCCUUCCACAGGUGAAGGUGCCCCAGUUGCUGCUGAGGACCUUGUCAUGAACUUGUAGGGCAGGUGCGGUACAACCAGCGGCCCGUGCUCCUCUGUCGGCUAGCACCAUGACUAGAUGGUGCACCAAGGUACACAGACAGAAGGAUGCGUCUACGGAAGCUGGCAACAAGGCAUCAACGCUUGCUCUGUAUGAUUUAUUUUUCAGGAGGAUGUGCAUGAGGAUAUGCUAUGUGGACCUUUGUUACCAACUAAGACCACCCGAACUGCACUUCACAAACACUGACUUGGUCAGGUGCACAGACCGAGCAAAGAGUGGACGAUUUCUGGUUUGACUACUCGGGUCAAAGGCUGCUUCUGAAUGUCAUCCAUGGAGAAGUGCUGGCUAGCUGAAAAAUGUCACCUGAACUUAACAGUGUUCUGCAGGAUGUGACUAUCAAGCACAGUCCAGUGCAUGCCCUUAGCUCGGGUCAUUCACACAGCCGUGAGAGAAGAUGGACACAGAGCACAUACGUGUUCUCUUACACACAGUGGUGAGAGGGCUGCGGAUCUGAGAGCUGCUCCAGAGAUGACUUUUUUUUUGGUACCGGGGAUUGAACUCGGGACCUUGUGCUUGCGAGGCAGGCGCCGGAACCGCUGAGCUAAAUCCUCGGCCCUCCAGAGACGACUUUUAGAAAGAGUCACCACCGGCAGCACAUUUCGGUGAUGCAGAAUGGGUCACAAAUCUUGCUUACCUGUGUGACAUAUUCAGCCUGCUCAGUGAACUCAACCUCUCACUUCAGGGGGAACAACUGCUGUGCCCAGUCGGCAGACAGUGGCUGCGGCGAAGCCAAGCUGGGAUUAUGAGCGAUGAGUGACACUGGGUCACUGAUGUGUGCCAGACAUCAGCAGGGACUUUAACAGGACCUAGGCAUUCUUUCUCCCAGCUCGGAGACCAUGGGCUAACAGCUUUCAAAAGACACCGACCGGAAGGAAGGGUCCGUGGCCCACUUACGAACAAGCUACGUGAGCUGAUUUUGUCCGUGCUAGAGGAGAACCCACUGUGUGAGACUGUAAAAGGUGACAACUUCAGAUUUCCGUAUGUUCUGCGCCAAGUCAAGCUAGCGCAUCCUGAGUGUCACAGAAGCACUGACAAGCCUGCUUCCAUGUCUGAUUCCUGUCCUUGUGAGGCACGGUUUUCUUCAGUGACAGCAACCAGAACGAGCCUACGAAGUAGACUGGAGUUAAACAACACACUCCAGGGGUCACUGUCUCCCAGCACCCCAGAAGGGACCAUCUCCUCGCAGGAAAACAAGUCAGGGCUCCCACCGAUUCUUCAUUAUGUACUACAGUGUGCUAAUGAUGGAAAUACAGUGCACAAUAACUGGAAUGCACCUGACUCAUCCUGAAACCAUCCCCACCCCAGCCUGUAGAUAAAUGGACUUCCACGAUACUGGUCGCUGGUGCCGAAAGGUUGGGAACUGCUGGCUCAGACCAUGGAAGAGGAGCUGUGACUGCAGGCUGCAGGGGUGAGGAGGCCAGGGGUACAGGGGAAGUGGACCCAAGUCACACAUUUGCCUGACUGUCAGGGCGUGCAGAUGAGUGGCACGGUGUGUGAAAGGCAGUGUGAGGACCCGUGGCAUUCCAGAAGCAGGCAGAGAGCCACGAGGGUGACAGGGCGUUCCCAGACACUCCUGGGUCCCCUCCGGCCCGUGCCUGCUUGGCCGAGGCCCUGUGAGAGUUCUGGGUCUCCAGCUCUCCUGUGCCCUGGGUGCUGGGCCAGCCGUGAGCGCUGCACGUGCUCUCCGCAGGAGGAGUGAGAGCGGAGACUUGGGCAGCUGCAGCCCCAGGCGCUGCGUGGCUGUCCUCGAGAGAAUCUGGGAGUGCAGUCCGGCUCCGUCCUGGCUCUGACCCGCCGUGCAGCCCCCAGCACCCCCAGCAUGCCAUCACUCACACCUGCCUGUGUCCCAGCCCCACCCAGCGCAGCUGAUCCCUGCAGCUCCCUGCCCGCAGUGGUGCUGGCCGCCUGAGGGCACGGAGAGCGCCCACACCCUGGCAGAGCUGAGCUUGAGGACCGAGGGUGAGGCCCGAGCUGCAGGGGCGCCCUCACGGGUCUCUUGAGGGUGGGCGCAGUCACACAUUCCCGACUGAAGCUGGGAGCCUUUCCCAGUCCCAAGCUCUGCAGACUGCUUUCCCAGAAGCGAUCAGGAUCGAGCCACCCAGCCACCUCCCCGCUGUGUUUUCUACAAACUGGUGCUGCCUGGCCCCACAGCCUUUCUUGGUGACGCGGUCCCAAGGUUUGGGUGAAGGAACCGUGGAAGAACUGGUGACAGUGAAGGCCUCCUGUGCACCCUGCACACGCAUUCCACAUGGCCCUCGUGGGAACAGCUGCUCCUGCUGUGCAGUGCACCGGUCAGCCGAUGUGUCCACGGUGACAGGCGUUAGUUAGCACCCUUGGGCCACGGAUUAUGGGAGGGCUCACCUGGAGUGUUUUCCCUGGGUCUGGGCAGGCACACCCACCAUACGUAUUACUUUCAAAAACUGUGGUCAAGUACACAUAGGUUCAUCACGUGACCAUUCCUAGGGGAGUUCAGCGGCGCUGUGCACACUGCUGUGUAGCUGUCACGUCACCCAGCUCGGGCCUCCUAGAAGUGGGCCUGGGCAGUAUCUGUCCCCUUGUGACCAGCUUCUCUCUUGGCACGAUGUGCUCCAGGUCCAUCCAUGCCAUCACAGGUAUCGGAAUGUGCCUCCUUUUCAAGGCUGAGUGAGGUUCUCUGCCGUGAAUGACUCAUUUGGCUUACUGGUCACCCACUGAGGACACUUGGGCACCUUCCACCACCCGGCUGUUGAGAGGAAUGCUCUGAGCUCCUUUGAGACCCGUUUGCAAUUCUUUCAGGUACUCACAAUUUGCCUCGCAUUUGCAGGGUCCACAUUCACAUAUUUACGCAAAUACAAACUGGAAACAUUUGUUUAAAAAAUAUAUACAUACCUGUGCUGAACCUGCACAGAACCGUUUCUUUGUGGUUACUCCCUAAACGAUACAGUGUAGCAGCUAUUGACACAGCACUUCCAUUGCAUGAGGUGUUCACAGUAUCCAGAGGAUGUGUGUGGGUUCUAUGCAAAUACUAUGUCAUUUUAUACCCGGUAAGUGAACUGAGUCUGAGGCAGUGGUGUGUCUGCUCAGCUGUCAGGAGCAGCACAGGCUGGGACUUCACUGCAAGUGCAUGCCAGGUGCGGGCCAGACCCUCUCCAGGUGAGGGCCACCUCCCCACUUCAGAGGGAGCCCAGGUGCCUCCCCUUCUGAUGAAAACACCCGUUCACAGUUGUCACAGACGUGGACGCUCAGGUGGCCUCAAGUGCUGGUGGGGCUGCUCAGGCUGCCUCUGCACCCUUCUCUGUGCCCAGGGCUGGUGAGUGCGCCCCUUCCCCAUGAGGCAGGGACCUCUCUACCCUGCACCACACCCCCAUACCUCAAAGGACCCUGUCCUGUUCAGUGAUCAAGGUUUGCAGGGGCAUAAGUGCAUCGCUAGCAAGCCCUGCACCUCCCUUCCCGUGCACCCCUAGAAUACCAGAAUGCCAGCGACAGAGGAACACUGGGUUUGAAAAGGAAUUAGUGAGUGAUCAUCCUGGUACAAGUCGACCUGUGUGAGCUCAUAUCCAAGGUGCUUCAGGGGGUGCCGACGAGAGGGUGGGGUGGACUCGAGGAAGAGGGUAUUCUUGCAGCCUUGCAGGGUUUCCCCAGAUCACUGCUCAUGGGGGGCAGCAGCCAUUCUGUGUGGGUGUGGGCAGUGGGAGGAGACAACAGCUUUGUCAUGUGACCAAAAGGAACACCACCAAGAAGGGGCAGCCAGGCCAAGGGCUCCGGGUCUGACGUCCAAGAAAGAUGGUGGGACACAGUGCUCCAUCCCAACACACGCAGCUCGAGUCCCCCGACGGUACUGGACCACCCAGCAGAGGGCCGUUCUGCCAGCAAGCAGCUGGCAUCAUUCAAAAGCAGCAAUGUCAUCGAGACGGGGAAGCCGAGGAAACACGGCAGGCGGAGACCAGAGAGACAACGAUGAAACACCGUUUGUGAGGCCCCGACUCAGUCCUGGGCCAGUAGAGGCUGUCAGAGUGAGAACGUGAACUGCAGACCAGACGAAACACAGUGCUUCCAUCUCUGAACUGCUGUGGUUGCACAGGAGAAUAUUCCCAUUGCUAGGGAACGAACAUCAGUGGUAGUGAGUAAAGGGACCUGAGGCUGGGCGUGGUAAGUCGUCCCAGCAGUCAGGAGGCUGAGGCAGGAGGAUCAGUGUAAAGGCAGCCCAGGCCGUCUCGAGAAAAAAGAGGCCAAGAGUUGUGCAGUUAAGCAGGGAAGAAGGAAGGGGAGGACGGGUGGAGGCGCAGCAAGCAGCUCGAGCAUGUAACAAAAUGUUACAAUUUGAGAAAUCUGGGGCAAGAGUAUGUGAGAGGUUAUGUGGUUUUUGUUUCUAUUUCCCCAACUUUCCUGGUUAGUUCAAACUGGGCUCGGUGGUGCAUGCCUAUAAUCCUGGACAUUCAGGAGGCUGAAGCAGGAGGAUAAUAAGUCCAAGGCCAGUCUGGGCUCCACUCUGUGUCAAAAAAAAUAAAUAAAUAAAAU